rnacentral:lncRNA from 1 species
CUUCGGGAGCUGGUGAUGGACAGGGAAGCCUGGUGUGCUGCAGUCCAUGGAGUUUCAGAGUCGGACACAACUGAGGGACUGAAUUGAAACUGGUGAAAUAGUAAUAAUAAUAUAGGUACAUUCACUGAGUGACUGGAUUUAUAAAUCACUUUCUUAACCAUAAAGGUAUACUAUCCCCAAGACAAGGUACCAAUUUUAGCCAGGUUCACUGGAGAUAAUUGUUUAAAGAAUAUAUAAAGGUCCUUAAAUACCAAAUGUGGCAGAGAAGCAAGAGAAAUAUUUUUGAGCAGGUGAGCUUUGAUUUGUCCUUGAAGUUAUGCCAUGAAAGUGUCCACCUGUCAUUGUCCUAUGCUAGUAGAAGGUCUUUGUUCUAUAAGAAAACAAAUCAUGUAAGGAUGAUUUUGGUAGUUUUAUGGAUUAAAUGAGGCAGUCUUUUUCAUAAAAUCAAUUUUUGGCACUGAGAAAACAAAACAAAAAAAGUCAUUUGAGAGUAGAAAUGUACAUAGAGCUUAAUGUAUUGAAAUCUUCAAACAGGAAUUUCACGAAAGUGGGGUUCUUCCACAAUGUUUAACUUGUAGAUGAAAUGCACUGUUCACAAUGUCAAGCCAGAAAACAGAAAUACUCUACAGUGAUUUACAGGUUUGUAAUGCUCCACUGAAACAUGAAACUUUGUUUGUUUUAAUAAACCUUGAGCUCAUUUUACAUAUGACAAUUAUGCUAAACAAUGAGACCCUUGGUAAACACCUAAUUCACAAAGUGUCAUUCAUGUGUCCCUUUAGUACUCUUGACAAAUCAACUUUCUGAAUCCAUUAAGCAGGGUAAACCGUUCUGCCAACCCACAAAGAUUCCUAACCACAGAAACCCUGAAAGUUUUCCUUGGUGGGUUUAUGUCAGUUCCUGUUCUACUCCAGUAUGGUAAUACCAGAUUUAAUUUGUCUUGAAAAUGAAACUAUUAUUCUGAAAAUGAACUAUUCAUAACUUAUCAUUUCCCCUUUUUAUUAAUUAACUUGGCAACUUUUCUUCCCAAAUAGUCUUGAAUAGUCAGAGACAUGCAUUGCUUUUUAGUGGUUUGUGCUUGGACCUAAAUUUUCUAGCCUAUUACUUCUGCAAGCCUUCAUUUUUGCAUAUUCAGGGAAAGGAUAAAAAUCAAUAAAAGUAGAAUUUCUAAAAGAAGAGUAGAGAUGACUUGAUAAUCAAAAAUAAUUAAAGAAUAACUUUUGCUACCAAUUUGUUUUCCAAAGCCAAUAUGAACAAUUCCAUUUUUCAGUAUUUACUCUAGGAAAAUGAAGUAUAUGCAUACAAAAUCCUGUAUAUAAAUAGCCCUAAUAGCUUUAUGUAUAACAUCCUGAAAUUGGAAACAACCCAAAUGUUCUUUAUGGAUGAAUGAAUAAACAAACUGUAGUAUAUCCUUAAAUGGAAUACUACUCAGCAAUAAUAAAUAAGCUAGAAAUGCACAAACUUGGAUGAAUCUCAAAGGCAUUAUGCUGAAUGAAAAAUGCCCAUUUCA